rnacentral:lncRNA from 1 species
CAAAAUGGCGCCGUUUUGCUUCCUUAUUUAAUUCUAAUUUUUUUCUAAAAUUUUUAUUUUUCUUCUUUUUUAAAAAAAUCCCAAAAUUCUCUCAACCCACUCUUCCCCCACCGGGCUCCGGCCAAAAAUCUGGCCAUCGGCCGUUGUGCAAGCCGCCAGCAACGGCGCUGCCGUCUACGAUGGCAAAAAAAACCAAAAAAAAAACCCCUUUUGAAGCCAUUUACAUGUGGAGCAAGGAUCCGAGGCGAAAACCCCUAAAAACCCGGC